CGCGAAUGGCUCAUUACAACAGCUAUAAUUUACUUGAUCUUGACACAAUCCUACUUGGAUAACUGUGGUAAUUCUAGAGCUAAUACAUGCAUUAAAGCUCUGACCUCACGGGAAGAGUGCAUUUAUUAGAACAAAACCAAGCGGCCUCGGCUGUUUUCGGUUGACUCAUAGUAACUGAGCUGAUCGCAUGGUCUUGCACCGGCGACGUGUCUUUCAAGUGUCUGCCGUAUCAACUUUCGAUGGUAGUGUAUCUGACUACCAUGGUGAUGACGCGUAACGGAGAAUAAGGGUUCGGCUCCGGAGAGUUCGCCCGAGAAAUCGCGAACACAUCUAAGGAAGGCAGCAGGCGCGAAAAUUACCCACUCUCAGCACGAGGAGGUAGUGACGAAAAAUAACGAGACCGUUCUCUUAUGAGGCCGGUCAUCGGAAUGGGUACAAUUUAAACCCUUUAACGAGUAUCUAUGAGAGGGCAAGUCUGGUGCCAGCAGCCGCGGUAAUUCCAGCU
rnacentral:rRNA from 1 species